GUCGGUCUGUUGGUUGGUUGGUUCGUUGUCCCCUUUCCUCCGAGAGGCGACCUCAGAUCAGACGUGGUGACCUGCUGAACUUUAAGCACAUUGGUCAGCGCAGAAAAAGAAACAAGGAUUCCCUCAGUAAAGGCGAGUGAACAGGGAAGAGCCCAGCGCCGAAUCCCCGCCCCACGGUGGGUCGCCUGUAAUGUGGCGUGUGCCAGACCCACUCCCCAGCACUGCUCUGGGGGCCCAAGUCCUCUGACGGAGGCCCAGCCCGUGGACGGUCUGAGGCUGGUGAUGGCCCCUGGCGCACCCGGUCGGGUCUUCCCGGAGUCUGCUUGCUUGGGAAUGCAGCCCAAAGUGGGUGGUAAUCUCCAUCUGAGGUUAAAUACCAGCAGGAGACUGAUAACAAGUACCACAAGGGAAAGUUGAAAAGAACUUUGAAGAGAGAGUUCCAGAGGGCCUAAAA
rnacentral:ncRNA from 1 species